UUAUUUAUAUAGAUAACUAUAUAUACAUAUACAUAUAACUCAUGAGAGUGAGAUUCUUCUUUUUUUAAAAAAAAAUUUUAUUUGUUUUUGUUUUGUUUUGUUUUGCUUCAUUAAAAAUAAUAAGGCAGAUAAGACUACAAUGGGAUAUUCAGUCUGCAGACCUGCGCCUGUGGAUUCAUGAAGCUUUCUCGAUAGAUACCAUGAGUACCAAACCAUGAUUCAGCAUUUUACUGUAGAAGAAUACUUGAUUGUAGUUUCAUAACCACUGUACUUCAAGUGACAUUAAAGCACAAGAGUAAGCACUAAAAGCUGGGGUCCUCCUCCUGGGUAUUUUGAGGACUAACUAUUCAGCUAGAGACUGUGUUCCCUGUCAAGUGACAAUUAAUUCCACCGCCUGCUUAUUUUGAAGACUGGCCGCAAAGUCGAAUUCCUGCACUCUCCAUGGCUGCUCCUGCAGCAGCCACAGGGACAUGGUUCAGGAGGCUCCUCCCCAGUGCAGCUGGGUUGGCAUGAAUCCCUUGUGCCGAAUGUGAAUGAAGCACAGCAGCGAAGUAAAUGAAGAACACCCCAAAAAUCAUUUGAUAGGAAAGAGAAACUCACAAAACCUCCACAAAAUGGAUCAGUAAGUUUGAAAAUGAUGGCUCCAAGAACAUGCAAGGUGUCUUUCCACCUGCCAAUUAAGAAAGAUGAGGAAGUGAUUUAUUACUAAAGCUCCUAUACUGUAUGAGGACUUCUAGCCUCAAAGCUAGGGGCUGCUCAUGCCUCCCCCACCACCCC
rnacentral:lncRNA from 1 species